UGGCCAUAUUGGUGCUGCUGUACCAUAGU
rnacentral:piRNA from 1 species